rnacentral:rRNA from 1 species
AUGAAGUGCAUCAGGUCUGGUAAACCUAGAAACAUGACAAAACCGACAGCAACAGGAGCAAAAAGGAGGAAGUACAAAGGUGAUAAUAAUGCACCUACUAUGCUUGAGAAUACAACAGACAGAAGAAGGAAUUACACAAUCGAAACGGGCUGUCAAGCUCAAAUGGUUGUUACCUGGAAAUUUGAGAUCGAACAAUGGGUGGUCACAAGGCUGAUCAUUCAGCAUAAUCAUGAACUCCAUCCACCAGGGGAAGUGAGGUUCCUGAAAUCACACAAGUAUAUCACUAAGCAAGAGAAAGACUUGACCAGGACUUGCAAGAGAGUAAAUAUACCAACUAGAAAUAUAAUGGCAACCAUGUCAUUCUUCCGAGGAAGAGGACUAUCUUCAUUGUCUUACACGCCAAAAUAG